GAUGAACGCUGGCGGCGUGCUUAACACAUGCAAGUCGAACGGAGUGCUCAUGAUGGAGGAUUCGUCCAACGGAUUGAGUUACUUAGUGGCGGACGGGUGAGUAACGCGUGAGGAACCUGCCUCGGAGUGGGGAAUAACAGCCCGAAAGGGUUGCUAAUACCGCAUGAUGCAGCUGGGUUGCAUGACCCUGGCUGCAAAGAUUUAUCGCUCUGAGAUGGCCUCGCGUCUGAUUAGCUAGUAGGCGGGGUAACGGCCCACCUAGGCGACGAUCAGUAGCCGGACUGAGGAGGUUGACCGGCCACAUUGGGACUGAGACACGGCCCAG
rnacentral:rRNA from 1 species